GACGAACGCUGGCGGCGUGCCUAACACAUGCAAGUCGAGCGAGUGAAUCUCCUUCGGGAGUGAAGCUAGCGGCGGACGGGUGAGUAACACGUGGGCAACCUGCCUCAUAGAGGGGAAUAGCCUUUCGAAAGGAAGAUUAAUACCGCAUAAGAUUGUAGCUUCGCAUGAAGUAGCAAUUAAAGGAGCAAUCCGCUAUGAGAUGGGCCCGCGGCGCAUUAGCUAGUUGGUGAGGUAACGGCUCACCAAGGCGACGAUGCGUAGCCGACCUGAGAGGGUGAUCGGCCGACAUUGGGACUGAGACACGGCCCAGACUCCUACGGGAGGCAGCAGUGGGGAAUAUUGCACAAUGGGGGAAACCCUGAUGCAGCAACGCCGCGUGAGUGAUGACGGCCUCGGUUGUAAAGCGUCUGUCUUCAGGGACGAGUAAUAGACGGUACCUGAGGAGGAAGGCCGACGGCUAACUAACGUGCCAGCAGCCGCGGU
rnacentral:rRNA from 1 species